AGCGAACGCUGGCGGCAGGCCUAACACAUGCAAGUCGAACGAAGUCUUCGGACUUAGUGGCGGACGGGUGAGUAACACGUGGGAACGUGCCUUUAGGUUCGGACUAACUCAGGGAAACUUGUGCUAAUACCGAAUGUGCCCUUCGGGGGAAAGAUUUAUCGCCUUUAGAGCGGCCCGCGUCUGAUUAGCUAGUUGGUGAGGUAAAGGCUCACCAAGGCGACGAUCAGUAGCUGGUCUGAGAGGAUGAUCAGCCACGUUGGGACUGAGACACGGCCCAAACUCCUACGGGAGGCAGCAGUGGGGAAUCUUGCGCAAUGGGCGAAAGCCUGACGCAGCCAUGCCGCGUGAAUGAUGAAGGUCUUAGGAUUGUAAAAUUCUUUCACCGGGGACGAUAAUGACGGUACCCGGAGAAGAAGCCCCGGCUAACUUCGUGCCAGCAGCCGCAGUAAGAC
rnacentral:rRNA from 1 species